UGAUGGCUUCACAGUAAUCUGGUUUCCCCUAAGAAGCUAAGACUAUCUGGGCUAUUUGAGAUCCUGCAAGAUUUAUCAAGACUGUACUAGCCAUAUGAAAGCAUGUUAACACAGGGAGGGAGAGAGGAAAAGCCCUCCACAUGUUAUGACUGGCAUACAUGCUUCCAAAGCAUCGUUACUAACCGAAGGCCCAGUUCCUGAGGCGAUCACCCCAGACACACUGAAUGCAAUUUGUUGGUCACUGAGUGGGUAUACCUAAUCACCACAGAUGUUUACAUGCAGCUGCAUUUUCUCUCCGUUUGAGUCACAAUGUUUUAUAUGUAAAUAGUAUUGUGUGCAUGUGUGUGCAUAUGUGUAUUUAUCCUCCAAGUCCAGAUGGAGUUAAUUUUCUGCUGUUAUUUGUAGUUCAUGUUUCAUAUCUAAGAAACUAAGGACCCAGAUGAGCUUUCCUUGGUGUCACAAACUUUUUUUUUUUUUUUUUAAUAGAGAUGAGGUCUCACUAUAUUGCCCAGGCUGGUCUCCAACUCCUGAGCUCAAGUGAUCUUCCUGCCUUAGCCUCUCCAAGUGCUGGGAUUACAGAUGUGAGCCACUGCACCUGGCCAACAAACUUCUGAUUCUUAUAGAAUCAGAUGUAAUUCCUUAGAGACCUGAGAAGUUCUAUACUCAGGUUCUUUCGUGCCGUCUGACUCCAAGAGCUCUUGCCUGAAGGAGGUCCCUUCCAGGACACUGAGUCCCAACCCACACCACCUCCUUGGAGGGCGUGUGCCCUCUCUUCCGCUGACCUUGACAUUCUUGCACAGGCUGCUUGUGCACAGAGGCAUCACCUCCCAGAGGGGACCUCUGGAGUGGCCCCAGGUACCAGGUACAGUCAGCCGCUUCUACCUGUGGAAGGCGAUCAGGGUAGAAAGCUCUGGGAAGCACUAAAAAUACACACAACCCUUACAAACACAACUCGGUGAUACAUGCUAAUAGUUCUGGACUCCAAACUGGGGCCAAAGCACAGACUCCACAGCUAGUUCUAGCAUGUAGCAGAUGUCACCCAACCUGGAAAGCUACUUGGUUGAAACUUAGUUAAAUCCGUGGCCACAGCAGUUUUAUACUUGACCUGAGUCCUCCAAUGUCUGCCACACCUGCAGUGGCUUCCUUCCCAUUCUCUCUCUCCUCUAAAAUACAAGAGGCAUUUCCCCCCAGUGCAGGAAGAUGGAACAGACUAUUUUGGUUAAUCAUCUACAUUUGUGUUCUUGAGUUUCUUCUGGAGUUGUCCAGCCUGGGGCUGCAUGCACAUUGGCCCACCACAAAUGCCUCCCUCUGCGGAGAGUGAGGUGGGCCGGUCGGGGCAGAACGCCUGCUUCUCAAUGCACCCCUUGCUCACUCAGCUCUGGGAGCCCCCCUGCCAGCGUGCCCGAGAGCUACUCUAAAUGAAGUUCGAGCUCCAUUUCAGGAAGGUGGUGAGACAAUAAAAUAACCCAGGAUGACGUGAACAGUUUUGCAUUUGCUUCAAACUCUGAAAGGAUUCAUGGUUCCCACGGCCUCCAGACUGGAUGGACCACUUUGGGUUUCAAUGGCAGGAUGAUUUUUCUGUAAAACAAUGGCUGGCUUUAAAUUUCUUCUUCUAGAACAAACCAAAAAAGAAAAGAAAAAACAAACCACUAAUUCUUAAGGAUGCAUAGGCCCCAGUUGCCUGAUGGUAUGUAGAAAGAAAGAAAGAAAUACAGCGGUAAUGUUCUGGUGAGGGAGCUAGUUUCCUAGGAGUCAAGUAGAAGUUUGCUGUUGACUCCAUGAUUAGCCUACGUCUGAGGUUGUAUCUAUUACUUGCCCAUCAUAUGAAAUAUGCUUUAAUCAAAAGAAACAUCUUAUUGAAACACUCCAUGCCAACAUUACCUUCAGACUUUGCCACCAUAACAUAUACGUUCUUUUUCCAGUUUGCCGCUGGUUGAAAUGACUAAGUGGAAACGGGAGAUGCAGGAAGAAAGUCACCCUCCUAUGAUGAGAGACGGAUGUGUGGGGCCCUAAUGAGGAACCCUUUACUCCAUGAAACCGAGGGAAAGAGCUGCGCUGAGCCACGUCUGGCUGACUCUGCACAGACAAAACGGGGCAGCUCUGCUGGCCACCAAGCCCAUCAGCAGCCAGGUGGUCAGCGAGGAGCAGCUGCCCUGAGGGCUGAUGGUAGGAGGCAGAGAGCCCAGGGCCGAAAGAACAGCGGGCUCAGUGCCCUGCUCCCUCCUUCUCAGCCCCGCCACGGGGAAGCACAGUUUGGCCCCAUUUUCAAAACCACUGUGUUUUAUUUCUAUUGUCCCAAACCCUCUGGCCUUCUUCCUAGAGAACACCAAGAGGAAUGCUCUCACCAGUUUGGUUGAAACCUUAUUUUUUAGUUUGUGCACAUUCAAUGUCACUGUGCUAAGAGUGACCGGAUGCAUUAGUCAGUUUUCAUGCUGCUAAUAAAGACAUACUGGCCCAGCGCAGUGACUCACGCCUGUAAUCCCAGCACUUUGGGAGGCUGAGGCGAGUGGAUCACCUAAGGUUGGGAGUUUGAGACCAGCCUGGCCAACAGGGAGAAACCCCAUCUUUACUAAAAAUAAAAAAUUAACCAGGCAUGGUGGCGCAUGCGUGUAAUCCCAGCUACUCAGGAGGCUGAGGCAGGAGAAUCACUUGAACCUGGGAGGCAGAAGUUGCGGUGAGCUGAGAUUGUGCCAUUGCACUCCAGCCUGGGCAGUAAGAGCGAAACUCUGUCUCAAAAAAAAAAAAAAAAAAAAAAAAAAUACCCAAGAUGGGUAAUUUAUAAAGGAAAGAGGUUUAAUGGACUCACAGUUGCAUAUGGCUGGGAAGGCCUCACAAUUAUGGCAGAAGUCAAAGGAGGAGCAAAGUCAUGUCUCACAUGGAGGCAGGCAAGGAGCUUAUGCAGGGAACUCCCCUUUAUAAAACCAUCAGAUCUCAUGAGACUUCUCAUUAUCAGGAGAACAGCACAAGAAAAACCCACCCCCAUGACUUGAUUACCUCCCACAACACGUGGGAAUCAUGGGAGCUACAAUUCAAGAAGAGAUUUGGGUGGAGACACAGCCAAACCACGUCACCAGACUGCCUCUUCAGGGAGUGAAUCACAAAUGUAUUCCUGACCACCCUGUUUUCUCCCCUCUUGAAUCAGGUAAGUCCUUGCCCAGGACGGAGAUUGGUCCUAACUGUAUUUGCCCUAAAGAAAUAUGACCUUUUAUGAUGGGGUAUAUUUAUUAAAUAACAGUAUUCUGAUAUUUAAUGACUACAUGACCACUAACACAGCUGGAUGAAGUUGAAUUCCAAAGGAAUCCCAAGGCCUAAUCCUAUCCUUAAAUAAAAUAUUAUUUUCUUUGAAAAAGGGUCUUGCUUUUUCACCCAGGCUGGAGUGCAAUGGCGUGACCAUGGCUCACUGCAUCCUAGACCACCCAGGCUCAAGGGAUCCUCUGCCUCAGCCUCCUGAAUAGCUGGGACCACAGUCAUGUGCCACCACACCAGGCUACUUUUAUUUUUAUUUUUUAUAGAGAUGGGGGUCGCCUAUAUUUCCAAGGCUGGUCUCCAACGCCUGGGCUCAAAAGAUCCUCUGCCUUGGCCUCUCAAAGUGCUGGGAUUACAGGUGAGCACCACCAUGCCUGGCCUAAAAUGUUCUUUUUUUAAGAGAUAGCUGUAACAAUCUUUAACUAUUUAGCAAUCCUUUUUUGGGGGAAAGGUUGUCUCUUGUUUGUCAGCAAAUGUAGUAUGUGAGUUUACAUGUCUUUGCUUUCAUUGUAUAAUUUCAAAUAGUCAGAAAAUAUUGCAUUCACUGGCAAUCAAUUUAUUUUGAUUGAUAAAAAGGGGUUAAUAAAAACCCCCUUAGAAAUAAAAAGAAGGUGAAUAGUAAUAUAUCAGUCAUGGUGCCUUCUUUCUGCUAUGCAUAAAGAAAACAAGCUUUUUUACUUCUCCCCAAUAAGUCUUCUCCCCUUAUUUUCUACACCUAUGGAGUCAUUUAUAAUCUUUAUUAUUUCCAACCACACACUAACAUGGCAUCAGUCAUAUUUCCACAUGCUGGGGGUUUUUUUUUUUUCCUUACUAUGUUGUGAGAACUGAAAGGCAAAAAUGUCCUAUAAUUUAUAUGAAAAUACAUGUCCAAAAUGGAUUAUCAGACAUAACUGAUGUGACUUCAUACACUUGAAAAUAAAAAAACUUAGGAUGAAAUAUAAAACAUCAUGGUAAAAUUUCAAUCUAUUGUUGAAAUAAAACAUGACUUAGAAAGGACACUGGUGUGUGGCAUUUAACAAACAUUGUCAAGCUCUUAGAAGCAGGGGUAGGUUAAGAUGGGAGAUAGUACUUUCCAUUCAAACAUAAAACUAUUGACUUUGGAAGGUACAUUUGUGGUUUAUUAAUAUUUUUAUUUAUCAACAGCACCUUUGAAGAAAAUGCAAAAUGACUAUAAAAUUCUUACCUUCUGUAUAUAGCGAGUGUUUAGAGUACCAUUGUGAGACAGACUUGGGCAUAUACGUUAUACAGUGUCAUAUAGAUCUCUAAUUUGCACUGGU
rnacentral:lncRNA from 10 species